GCCAGGCAUGGUGGUGCAUACCUGUGGUCCCAGCUACUCAGGAGGCUGAGAUGGGAGGAUCGCUUGAGCCCAGGAGGUCGAGGUUGCAGUGAGCCAAGAUUGUGCCACUGUACUCUAGCCUGGGUAAUAAAGCGAGACUCUGUCUUUA
rnacentral:SRP_RNA from 1 species